AGUGAACGCUGGCGGUAGGCCUAACACAUGCAAGUCGAACGGCAGCACAGUAAGAGCUUGCGCUUCCGGGUGGCGAGUGGCGGACGGGUGAGGAAUACAUCGGAAUCUACUUUUUCGUGGGGGAUAACGUAGGGAAACCUACGCUCAUACCGCAUACGACCUACGGGUGAAAGCAGGGGAUCUUCGGACCUUGCGCGAUUGAAUGAGCCGAUGUCGGAUUAGCUAGUUGGCGGGGUAAAGGCCCACCAAGGCGACGAUCCGUAGCUGGUCUGAGAGGAUGAUCAGCCACACUGGAACUGAGACACGGUCCAGACUCCUACGGGAGGCAGCAGUGGGGAAUAUUGGACAAUGGGCGCAAGCCUGAUCCAGCCAUACCGCGUGGGUGAAGAAGGCCUUCGGGUUGUAAAGCCCUUUUGUUGGGAAAGAAAAGCAGCAGGUUAAUACCCCGCUGUUCUGACGGUACCCAAAGAAUAAGCACCGGCUAACUUCGUG
rnacentral:rRNA from 1 species